rnacentral:rRNA from 1 species
CCUACGGGUGGCAGCAGUCGGGAAUUUUGGGCAAUGGGGGAAACCCUGACCCAGCAACGCCGCGUGAAGGAUGAAGUAUUUCGGUAUGUAAACUUCGAAAGAAUGGGAAGAAUAAAUGACGGUACCAUUUAUAAGCUCCGGCUAACUACGUGCCAGCAGCCGCGGUAAUACGUAGGGAGCAAGCGUUGUUCGGAUUUACUGGGCGUAAAGGGCGCGUAGGCGGCAAAUCAAGUCAUCUGUGAAAUCUCCGGGCUUAACUCGGAACGGUCAGAUGAUACUGUUUUGCUAGAGUGCAGAAAGGGCAAUCGGAAUUCUUGGUGUAGCGGUGAAAUGCGUAGAUAUCAAGAGGAACACCUGAGGCGAAGGCGGGUUGCUAGGCUGACACUGACGCUGAGGCGCGAAAGCCAGGGGAGCAAACGGGAUUAGAUACCCUUGUAGUC